rnacentral:rRNA from 1 species
UACGAAGGGGGCUAGCGUUGCUCGGAAUGACUGGGCGUAAAGGGCGCGUAGGCGGUGGACACAGUCAGGCGUGAAAUUCCUGGGCUCAACCUGGGGGCUGCGUUUGAUACGUGUUUGCUAGAGUGGGGAAGAGGGUCGUGGAAUUCCCAGUGUAGAGGUGAAAUUCGUAGAUAUUGGGAAGAACACCGGUGGCGAAGGCGGCCAUCUGGACGGUAACUGACGCUGAGACGCGAAAGCGUGGGUAGCAAACAGG